UACGCUGAGGCUCUCCUUGCAAGUGAUGUGGCUGCAGUCAGGAAUUAGACCAUUAACUCUGAGUAGUGCCAGGCUUGUCAAAUUGGGGCAUGGCCAUCACAUUUAUCUAUAAUACCAGACUGUUUGUUCCACUCCUGAGGAAGAUCUACCAGCCACCUGGGGAGGCAAUGUGUUGUCACUAUCAGUACACCUGUGUGGAGGACAGCAGAAAAGCAGCUCCUCCUGUGAGUCAACGUGCUCCCUUCUGAAACAUUCAGUAUGAUUAGCAAGGAGUCUUGUGAAAAGACACACUUGCCCAUGGUCCUUAGGGAACAGUGUGCUGGGAAAACAACAGCGAACUGAGUGAUUUGUUCUGCAGCAUCCUGUCCAGUUCACCCUUCCUUUCAGAGCUGCCUGGUCCUUAAACAAGAACUGUUAGCUAUAGCAAAACAAUAGCCUAUCAUAAUUUCAGAAAAAAGUCUAUAGUGUUCCCCUGAAGACCCAACUCUUCUGCUCCUCCAGUCAGUCAGAGGCUCACUGGGUAGGGAGGUAUCACUGGUACAAGAACCGAAGGAUGGAAAAGCCUC